AAGUAUGAAGCGAUUUAUUGCAAUUAGUUUCGACCUAACCUUAGAUAUUAUUUAUCCUUACUUU
rnacentral:tRNA from 1 species